AUGGCCAUACCACGUUGAAAACACCGGUUCUCAUCCAUCACUGAAGUUAAGCAAAUGUCGAGCUUGGUCAGUACUUGGGAAGGUGACAAGGAAUGUACGAAUUUGGCAAAGCUGGUUUUGUUACUGACC